rnacentral:rRNA from 1 species
AGUGAACGCUGGCGGUAGGCCUAACACAUGCAAGUCGAACGGCAGCACAGUAAGAGCUUGCUCUUACGGGUGGCGAGUGGCGGACGGGUGAGGAAUACAUCGGAAUCUACUUUUUCGUGGGGGAUAACGUAGGGAAACUUACGCUAAUACCGCAUACGACCUACGGGUGAAAGCAGGGGAUCUUCGGACCUUGCGCGAUUGAAUGAGCCGAUGUCGGAUUAGCUAGUUGGCGGGGUAAAGGCCCACCAAGGCGACGAUCCGUAGCUGGUCUGAGAGGAUGAUCAGCCACACUGGAACUGAGACACGGUCCAGACUCCUACGGGAGGCAGCAGUGGGGAAUAUUGGACAAUGGGCGAAAGCCUGACCCAGCAAUACCGCGUGGGUGAAGAAGGCCUUCGGGUUGUAAAGCCCUUUUGUUGGGAAAGAAAAGCAGCAGGUUAAUACCCCGCUGUUCUGACGGUACCCAAAGAAUAAGCACCGGCUAACUUCGUG